GCAGGGAAAAGUCUGCCCACAGGAAGUCAGCGGAGGUCCAUUCCCACCUGGCUGACCUGGUGGAAGGAGGUGAGGUGAAAGAUGCACCUUCAGCAGUGUUGGCAGACACAACUCACAGCUCGUGACACCAGGAUGGAGUCAUCACACCCUGGUCUGCCCAGCACCACCAUAUAGUAGGCUUUCUUGAGAGCAUGAGAAACACCUUCAAACUUUAACUUCAUGAAAACAGAAAAGAGAAAUGCAAGAAGAGCAAGGAUUUAUGCUGGGUUUAAUCCAGGGAUCAGAGUAGAAAUGCAGAGAAUGAGAAGAAAAGGAGAAGCAAGAAAGGAGGCAGUAGGUGAGAGGAGAGAAGUAGGAGGCGAUUCCUAUCAUCAGGAAUGACAAGCAGACAGGGGAAAGCAGGAGUGCUCACCUCAACCUUCAGACCGGCCUGGAAGCUGAU